rnacentral:rRNA from 1 species
CAUUGUUCGCAAUGGGCGCAAGCCUGACGACGCAACGCCGCGUGGAGGAUGAAGAUUUUCGGAUCGUAAACUCCUGUCGAGUGGGAAGAACAGUUCUGGGGUGAACAAUCCUGGAGCCUGACGGUACCACUAAAGGAAGCCCCAGCUAACUCCGUGCCAGCAGCCGCGGUAAUACGGAGGGUGCGAGCGUUGUCCGGAAUCACUGGGCGUAAAGGGCGCGUAGGUGGCCGAGCAAGGUCGCGGUGAAAGCCCGGGGCUCAACCCCGGGUCGGCCGUGGCAACUACUCGGCUUGAGCACUGUAGGGGCGGGUGGAAUUCCGGGUGUAGCGGUGGAAUGCGUAGAGAUCCGGAAGAACACCGGUGGCGAAGGCGGCCCGCUGGGCAGGAAGGCUCGCAAGAGCCGGCUGACACUGAGGCGCGACAGCGUGGGGAGCAAAC